rnacentral:rRNA from 1 species
AGCAUGUGUGUUAGUGGAAGCGUCUGGAAAGGCGCGCGAUACAGGGUGACAGCCCCGUACACAAAAGCGCAUGUGCUGUGAGCUCGAUGAGUAGGGCGGGACACGUGGUAUCCUGUCUGAAUAUGGGGGGACCAUCCUCCAAGGCUAAAUACUCCUGACUGACCGAUAGUGAACCAGUACCGUGAGGGAAAGGCGAAAAGAACCCCGGCGAGGGGAGUGAAAAAGAACCUGAAACCGUGUACGUACAAGCAGUGGGAGCACAGGUUUACCUGUGUGACUGCGUACCUUUUGUAUAAUGGGUCAGCGACUUAUAUUCUGUAGCAAGGUUAACCGUAUAGGGGAGCCGUAGGGAAACCGAGUCUUAACCGGGCGUUAAGUUGCAGGGUAUAGACCCGAAACCCGGUGAUCUAGCCAUGGGCAGGUUGAAGGUUGGGUAACACUAACUGGAGGACCGAACCGACUAAUGUUGAAAAAUUAGCGGAUGACCUGUGGCUGGGGGUGAAAGGCCAAUCAAACCGGGAGAUAGCUGGUUCUCCCCGAAAGCUAUUUAGGUAGCGCCUCGUGAAUUCAUCUCCGGGGGUAGAGCACUGUUUCGGCUAGGGGGCCAUCCCGGCUUACCAACCCGAUGCAAACUGCGAAUACCGGAGAAUGUUAUCACGGGAGACACACGGCGGGUGCUAACGUCCGUCGUGAAGAGGGAAACAACCCAGACCGCCAGCUAAGGUCCCAAAGUCAUGGUUAAGUGGGAAACGAUGUGGGAAGGCCCAGACAGCCAGGAUGUUGGCUUAGAAGCAGCCAUCAUUUAAAGAAAGCGUAAUAGCUCACUGGUCGAGUCGGCCUGCGCGGAAGAUGUAACGGGGCUAAACCAUGCACCGAAGCUGCGGCAGCGAACGUAUCACCCAAGACAACUUUACGGAGUUGACGAUUGACGGAGCGAAGCGACGUCAAAGCGUUCAUUAAAGUCGAGUUGGCUUAGGGAUACGUUCGUUGGGUAGGGGAGCGUUCUGUAAGCCUGUGAAGGUGUGUCGUGAGGCAUGCUGGAGGUAUCAGAAGUGCGAAUGCUGACAUAAGUAACGAUAAAGCGGGUGAAAAGCCCGCUCGCCGGAAGACCAAGGGUUCCUGUCCAACGUUAAUCGGGGCAGGGUGAGUCGACCCCUAAGGCGAGGCCGAAAGGCGUAGUCGAUGGGAAACGGGUUAAUAUUCCCGUACUUGGUGUUACUGCGAAGGGGGGACGGAGAAGGCUAUGUUGGCCGGGCGACGGUUGUCCCGGUUUAAGCGUGUAGGUGUGUGUUCCAGGUAAAUCCGGUUCACUUUAACACUGAGGCGUGACGACGAGGCACUACGGUGCUGAAGCAACAAAUGCCCUGCUUCCAGGAAAAGCCUCUAAGCAUCAGGUAACACGAAAUCGUACCCCAAACCGACACAGGUGGUCAGGUAGAGAAUACCAAGGCGCUUGAGAGAACUCGGGUGAAGGAACUAGGCAAAAUGGUGCCGUAACUUCGGGAGAAGGCACGCUGACACGUAGGUGAAGUGAUUUACUCAUGGAGCUGAAGUCAGUCGAAGAUACCAGCUGGCUGCAACUGUUUAUUAAAAACACAGCACUGUGCAAACACGAAAGUGGACGUAUACGGUGUGACGCCUGCCCGGUGCCGGAAGGUUAAUUGAUGGGGUCAGCGCAAGCGAAGCUCCUGAUCGAAGCCCCGGUAAACGGCGGCCGUAACUAUAACGGUCCUAAGGUAGCGAAAUUCCUUGUCGGGUAAGUUCCGACCUGCACGAAUGGCGUAAUGAUGGCCAGGCUGUCUCCACCCGAGACUCAGUGAAAUUGAACUCGCUGUGAAGAUGCAGUGUACCCGCGGCAAGACGGAAAGACCCCGUGAACCUUUACUAUAGCUUGACACUGAACAUUGAGCCUUGAUGUGUAGGAUAGGUGGGAGGCUUUGAAGUGUGGACGCCAGUCUGCAUGGAGCCGACCUUGAAAUACCACCCUUUAAUGUUUGAUGUUCUAACGUGGACCCGUAAUCCGGGUUGCGGACAGUGUCUGGUGGGUAGUUUGACUGGGGCGGUCUCCUCCUAAAGAGUAACGGAGGAGCACGAAGGUUGGCUAAUCCUGGUCGGACAUCAGGAGGUUAGUGCAAUGGCAUAAGCCAGCUUGACUGCGAGCGUGACGGCGCGAGCAGGUGCGAAAGCAGGUCAUAGUGAUCCGGUGGUUCUGAAUGGAAGGGCCAUCGCUCAACGGAUAAAAGGUACUCCGGGGAUAACAGGCUGAUACCGCCCAAGAGUUCAUAUCGACGGCGGUGUUUGGCACCUCGAUGUCGGCUCAUCACAUCCUGGGGCUGAAGUAGGUCCCAAGGGUAUGGCUGUUCGCCAUUUAAAGUGGUACGCGAGCUGGGUUUAGAACGUCGUGAGACAGUUCGGUCCCUAUCUGCCGUGGGCGCUGGAGAACUGAGGGGGGCUGCUCCUAGUACGAGAGGACCGGAGUGGACGCAUCACUGGUGUUCGGGUUGUCAUGCCAAUGGCACUGCCCGGUAGCUAAAUGCGGAAGAGAUAAGUGCUGAAAGCAUCUAAGCACGAAACUUGCCCCGAGAUGAGUUCUCCCUGAGACUUAGAGUCUCCUGAAGGAACGUUGAAGACGACGACGUUGAUAGGCCGGGUGUGUAAGCGCAGCGAUGCGUUGAGCUAACCGGUACUAAUGAACCGUGAGGCUUAACCUUACA